UGUGCAAAGGCCCAGAGGCAAGAGAUGUGGAGAAGCACGAGAAGUUCGAGCGCCUUUCAGCCACACCUGCGUUUACAUGGAUGGGCGACUUGGAAAGACCCCAGAUGGCCUCGGGGUGGGGGCUGACUUGACUGUCAGUGGCCAACGGCUUAAUCAAUCUGCGUAUGUAGUGAAGUCCCUAUGAAAAACCCAAAGGACAGGGUUCCGGGAGCUUCCCACUGGCGAACACCGGAGAUGCGGUGGAGUGGCCGCUCUGAGAGGGCGUGGGAGCCCCGUCUCCCUCUGCCCCCACCUCGCCUCUGAGCAUCUCUUCCAUCUGGCUGUUCCCGACUUACAUCCUUUCACAGCAAACCAGUAAUCUAGUGACUGAACUGUUUUCCUGAGUUCUGCAAGCAAUUCUCAGACCCCAGGAAGGGGUCGCGGGAGGCUCUGAGUUGCAGCGGGAGGGACAGAGCACAGAGCGAGGGGCUGCAGAGAGCCAGGCAGAAGCCACGAUGCCUCUUACGACGUGGCCUUGGGAGUCACACUCCGUCAUUUCCACAGCAUCCCACUGGGCACAAGGGGACACGAUGGGUGUGCAGGCCUCAGAAGGCAUCUUUCUCUGACGUAUGCCGCUCGGAAGCGUGAUGGGGACUUGGGGAGAAGGGGACCAGGUGAAUGACAGCACUUCUGGCUGUGGCAGCAAGAACUGGAUGUUGGCAUCAGACGGAUCUGAAAUGUGUUCCCUGGGUGUGACCUCGAGCAUGAAAAAGCAGGUUCAACUCACAACCGGAAAAGGGACAGGUCAAGGUUCCCAGAGGAUGAAAUGUCAGCCUUCGGCGGCGGCAAUGCCAUUCCGCCGGAGGCGCUGAAAAUAGACGCAAAAACAGAAGCCUCAAGUCUCCGGAGGCCAGAGAAGGAGAGACAGAAAGAAAGUGAACUCGAGAAGGGCCAGCUUGGAAGGACUUUGCCCUUUUAAAUGUGACCUUGCCACAUGCAAAAUUCAGGUAGAAACAAAACCUGUACGAGCUGUGACCACAGGAAGAAACUGAGGCUCAGAGACACAAAUGACUGACCCCCAGACCACACAGCUAAUGAAAUGGUGGAGUUAGGAUUUGAACCCAGGUCUGUCUGAGCCUGCGUAGUUAUUUCCCAUAAAUGUGCUGCCCCCCUAUGCCUCCCUGUUUUCAUCUACCAAUUAGGGAUAGUCACACAAUCCAAGAAACGGCAUCAUUCUGUGCUCUGUAACCAACAUGGCAGCCUCGUGUGACAUAUCUGUUCAUGGAUACUUGGCUGCGUCAAUGAAUGGAUAUGUGGAUGGAUAAUGGGACAGUCAGACAGAUAAAUGGAU
rnacentral:lncRNA from 1 species